rnacentral:rRNA from 1 species
GAUGAACGCUGGCGGCGUGCCUAAUACAUGCAAGUCGAGCGAACAGACGAGGAGCUUGCUCCUCUGACGUUAGCGGCGGACGGGUGAGUAACACGUGGAUAACCUACCUAUAAGACUGGGAUAACUUCGGGAAACCGGAGCUAAUACCGGAUAAUAUAUUGAACCGCAUGGUUCAAUAGUGAAAGACGGUUUUGCUGUCACUUAUAGAUGGAUCCGCGCCGCAUUAGCUAGUUGGUAAGGUAACGGCUUACCAAGGCAACGAUGCGUAGCCGACCUGAGAGGGUGAUCGGCCACACUGGAACUGAGACACGGUCCAGACUCCUACGGGAGGCAGCAGUAGGGAAUCUUCCGCAAUGGGCGAAAGCCUGACGGAGCAACGCCGCGUGAGUGAUGAAGGUCUUCGGAUCGUAAAACUCUGUUAUUAGGGAAGAACAAAUGUGUAAGUAACUAUGCACGUCUUGCCGGUACCUAAUCAGAAAGCCACGGCUAACUACGUG